rfam:Schistosoma margrebowiei strain Zambia genome assembly, scaffold: SMRZ_contig0000012
AUCCAGCUGAUGAGUACCAAAUAGAACGAAACACGCGUCAAACUGGAU